rnacentral:rRNA from 1 species
AAUUAGCGGAUGACUUGUGGCUGGGGGUGAAAGGCCAAUCAAACCGGGAGAUAGCUGGUUCUCCCCGAAAGCUAUUUAGGUAGCGCCUCGUGAAUUCAUCUCCGGGGGUAGAGCACUGUUUCGGCAAGGGGGUCAUCCCGACUUACCAACCCGAUGCAAACUGCGAAUACCGGAGAAUGUUAUCACGGGAGACACACGGCGGGUGCUAACGUCCGUCGUGAAGAGGGAAACAACCCAGACCGCCAGCUAAGGUCCCAAAGUCAUGGUUAAGUGGGAAACGAUGUGGGAAGGCCCAGACAGCCAGGAUGUUGGCUUAGAAGCAGCCAUCAUUUAAAGAAAGCGUAAUAGCUCACUGGUCGAGUCGGCCUGCGCGGAAGAUGUAACGGGGCUAAACCAUGCAC